CGUCGAGCAGCUUCUGUAUCUCGCACAUGAUUGUAGCGAUGAUUUAGAGACCAUAAUCUGAUACCCAAGGCUCUAUGAUGGUGCAUGAGGGCCAACAUUAACGACAUCAUAUUGAUAAAUAAGACUCAACACGGGAUUGAAAUGCAACGUGUACACCAAACAUUGGUCAUCGCAGUUGGCAGACUGAACACUGAUCACCACAAACUGAACACUGGACAAUGGACAAUGGACAAUGGACAAUGGCAUUGCAGAGUGAACACCGAAGGACGCCGAAAGACAUUCACGAUAAUGGAAUCAAAACGAAACCAACUCGGAAAUGUAUUUGGACAAUUUAUUGACACUGAUUAUGAUUU